GCCGGGGCCCGGCGCCGCGCUGGUUAAUAAAGGGCUCCCUGUCCCCGCGUUCCACAGUGAGACCUUUCCCAGAUCACGCUCCGGUUUGGGAAGGAGCCCAGAGCCGAUAAUAAGACUGAGAAUUAGAGAAGGAACUUGUUCAUGAUUACAAAACCAGUGAAGAUUUGGAGUUCUCUGGAGCAGGUCUGGCCCCCUUGCCUCCUCUACUACCUGAGCAAGCUAGAAAAAUGACCCCAACGCUCACCUAGGUUUGUUUUUGACAACAUAAGCUAGAAGAGGUCUGAGAAAAAAAGACAAAUAAGUGACUUAAAUGGACAUUCGCCACAAACAGGAAAAGAGGGACGGAGGGCCUGCUCCUCCCGGGGCGCCGCGUCGGGAUGAAAGCGGAGAGGAAGAGGGGCGACCCUGAGAGGCCGGCCCGGGCUCGGCUGUUUAUUUUGAGCCACACUUCUGAUGUGACUUGGCUUAUGGCAGUCCCGGCACUCAAAGGCUCGGAGGAACACAAACAGAUCGCAGGUGGCACGAGGCCAGGGUAAAGCUUCCCUCCCGAUCCUGGGGAGGUCAGCCCGCUUUGCCUUUUAUAUGGUAAUUGCAGCUCCUCCGAGUGGGCCUGGCCCCGAGGAAAAAUAAAUAAA